GAUGAACGCUAGCGGCAGGCUUAACACAUGCAAGUCGAGGGGUAUGGUUCUUCGGAACCAGAGACCGGCGCACGGGUGCGUAACGCGUAUGCAAUCUACCUUUUACAGAGGGAUAGCCCAGAGAAAUUUGGAUUAAUACCGCAUAAUAUAAGGAACGGCAUCGUUUUUUAUUGAAAGAUUUAUUGGAUAGAGAUGGUCAU
rnacentral:rRNA from 1 species